rnacentral:lncRNA from 1 species
GUUAAAUCUGGAUGUUUUGCAUAAGUUUGCCUUUUUUUUUUAAAAUUUAAUGUCGCUGUUCAGAUCAAUAGCAUUGAAAAUCAAGGUCAAGUACAAGGAAGGUGGGAAAAAAGACAUUUCCAGCUCCCUUUACUCCCAGCUUGCAGAGACCACAGAAAUGCGGCUUGCAAGAGAUCUUGCAGCCAUACAGAGCGAGAGCAAGUAUAAAAGUGGUAAAAAGGCUACGUCCAGCCUUUACGCUCACCUCCCAGAGACCGCAG